UCCCUCUCAAGGUCACAUCUGGAGUGUUUCCAGGAUUCUACCAGUCUCGGCUAUGGGAGGGAGAGUCAAGCAGAGGCAUACCCACUCUAUUCCUAGUUUGGGCAGUGGCUAGCGAGUGGAAGGCAGUCUGCUUCAAGU